rnacentral:rRNA from 1 species
GACGAACGCUGGCGGCGUGCUUAACACAUGCAAGUCGAACGGAAAGGCCCUGCUUUUGUGGGGUGCUCGAGUGGCGAACGGGUGAGUAACACGUGAGUAACCUGCCCUUGACUUUGGGAUAACUUCAGGAAACUGGGGCUAAUACCGGAUAGGAGCUCCUGCUGCAUGGUGGGGGUUGGAAAGUUUCGGCGGUUGGGGAUGGACUCGCGGCUUAUCAGCUUGUUGGUGGGGUAGUGGCUUACCAAGGCUUUGACGGGUAGCCGGCCUGAGAGGGUGACCGGGCACCUGGGGACUGAGAGACGGACCAGUCUCCAACGGGAGGCAGCAGGGGGAAAUAUUACACAGUGGGCGGAAGCCUGAUGCGGAAGCGCCGGGUGCGGAAUGACGGCCUUCGGGUUAAAAACAGCUUUCGCCUGUGACGAAGCGGGAGUGACGGUAAUGGGUAAAGAAGCACCGGCUAACUACGUG